GCGCCCUACUUUAUUAUUUUACUUUGUUUAAUGCCAGAUGAUUGUAUUCGUCAAAGGGAGAGCACUGGCACUUAAUGGGUUAACUAGCCUAUCUACCAAUGUGCAUGUCUAGUUAACCCAUUGAGUCGCAUUGCGCCCAGUAAUACAGUAAUAGUUGUAGCAAAAGUAUCCAUGGACAUUUAUACUUCGAUAUAACAAAUUUAAAUAUUUUCUACGCUUAAGUUAUGGCUUACAGUUUCGUUUUAAAUUUGAAUGAUGAUUAGAAUUAAAAACAUUAAAUUAUCCGAUAUCGUGGAAAGUGGUGCUCUGGUUGAUAACAUGUUUAUGUGUGUAAUACUUGCGUGUAACAUGAGUUUAUAAAUAUUCAUGCCUAUAUUCAUGCAGAACAAAUAUUAUCACCUCGAAUAUCACAUGCAUCUCACCUCAGGACUCAGUCACUCUCAAUUGUAGAUUAUUGACAAUGUUUAGACUAUCGAACAGUACAAGUUUUCUUUUCUUGAAUUUUCCAUAUUAAUAACAGUUCUUUUCUAUAUAUUUUUGCUUUGGAAAGUAUUAGAAAAACGCAUGAAAAUACAUGUUGGGUCAACAGAAAGCCAACGCAAAUCCACUAUUCCUCAAACGUGACUGAUAUGUAUUUUUAUGAUCCAUAUCUUUUACCUUUAUCGGUGGAUACCAAUGUUAAUAGCGAAGAAUAAAAAGGUUGGCUUUAC